AGUCCCACCCGGCCAAGGUUAGCCACCAGCCGGUAGUGAGUCUUGCGUAGUGUCGGGCAACCGCCACUGCGAAGCGUAGACAACGAGUGCAUAGGCCGUGCGAUAGAGCACCGAAAUUAUUGAAUCGAGAUCGCCGACAUCUCUGCCCGUAAUGGAAGGCAACACCAACCCGCCGAACCGGCUUGGCGGCGAGGGAUCUCCGGUGUCAGAGAAC
rnacentral:ncRNA from 1 species